rnacentral:rRNA from 1 species
UGGGGGAUAUUGCACAAUGGGCGAAAGCCUGAUGCAGCGACGCCGCGUGGGGGAUGAAGGCCUUCGGGUUGUAAACUUCUUUUGCUCUGAACAAGGCAUGCCUUUGGGGUGUGUUGAGUGUAGGGGUUGAUUAGCGCCGGCUAACUACGUGCCAGCAGCCGCGGUAAUACGUAGGGCGCGAGCGUUGUCCGGAAUUAUUGGGCGUAAAGGGCUUGUAGGUGGCUGGUUGCGUCUGUCGUGAAAGCUUAUGGCUUAACUGUGGGUUUGCGGUGGGUUCGGGCUGGCUAGAGUGCAGUGGGGGGGGCUGGAAUUCCUGGUGUAGCGGUGGAGUGCGCAGAUAUCGGGAGGAAUCCCGGUGGCGAAGGCGGGUCUCUGGGCUGUUACUGACGCUGGGGAGCGAGAGCGUGGGGAGCGAACAGG